ACUCAGUUUUGCCAACUGAGUAGAUUGGAGCAACGUGAAGUGAAGUGCUUUGCUCAAAAAUACGACUCGUCGCCUGGUCCAGGAAUCGAAACUACAAUCUUACGAUC